AAGGAAGAAAGCAAUACAGGGAAGACAACAGGGAAGAAAAGUCAGUCACAGUUUCCAGUUCAGGCCCACUUCUUUACGGGCGACACAUGCAGGCCAACCCAGAGGCGCCCAAAAAGAACGCCGACAAAUCCAAGAAGAUCAGCCGCAAGCCGCUGGCGGCCAAGAACAAGUAACGAAGAGGGUGACGAAGAGCUGAUCCGACCAUCCGAGAUGAUGAACCUCACUGCAUGUGCCUUUCCAUUUGAUAUUUAUUCAGAACUUAUGUUUUAUAUUGCUUCAGUAUUACGUUAAUCAUGUAACCUCCAGUUGACUCCACUCUUGAUAUGCCCCAGCCAUUUUUUCCAAGUGUCCUUCUUGUCCAAUGCCACUUUUUGCCUUCAAAGUGCCGCUUCUGUCAAGUCAGACCUGUGUUGGGUGCUAAUCAGCUUUUCUGAACGUGUUUGUUGUGUCUCGAGAGGCGGCAGGAGUUUUGUCCUACUCGGCCAUCCAGACGAGGAGAGCGGUGAAUUUUGGGAGGUGGUGACGAGCGUUUUGUAACCGUACAGGGAUUUAGAAGGAGUUUGGGGUCUUAGUGGACUCUGAGCAGGAUUGUGUCAAGUCUCCGGGGGGAAACCGCUGACUGCUUCCUCUGCCUCUUAAUGACCGAUAUGAAUGGCUGCAAACAGGAGUUUCAGAUGGUACACAGCAGAUUCCAGACAGAAACACCCCGGUGGCCAUUUGAGAGGGUCAACAAGAUAUCGCAACAAACCACAGAUGGUGUUCUCUGAAGCGGUUGGCCAUUGUUUCUUACUGUUUCUUACUUCUAGUUAACAUGACGGUGUAACUUUUUACAGAACAACAUACAGUUGUAUUUGUAAAGAACCAGUUUCUUGAACCGGUUAAUCAUGCAAUAAUAUUGCCAUUUCUGCCGUCACUACAGUUUUAUGUUGCGUACACUAACAUCUUCUAAUUCUGCAAAGCUUGGCUGAAUUUGAAGUUUUAUUUUUUAUGUAUGUUAUUUCUUAUUUUUAAAGGUCACAAGCCAUUUCAUUGCAAUCACAUUUAAAUUUGUAAUAUUUGACUAUGUUUUAUCAUAUGCACACAAUGCAGUGUGCUAUGUACUGAAUUUUUGACAUUGAAAUAAAGUCACCAUUUUGUUGGA